AUCACUUGCCCCUGAAGGGGAUACUCGGGUAGCUGCUAGAAAAAUUGCAGGCUCUGUGCUUGCUUUUUUUCCUAGCCACCUUCUUGAAAGUUUCUGUUGUUGGAAUUGCCAGAAAUGUUCAGAUUUUGCUUUGUUUUGAAAGUGUUCUGGUUGGACGCACAAGACUGUUUUGAUAUCUCCACCUGCUGGAGAAACCCCAGCACGCACAAUGGAGCUGGCCUCUGCCUUCUGAAAAACACCCAACUCCUCCACACCAAAACUGCACGGAGUCUCCUUUCCUCCUCCUCCUCCUCCUCCUUCUCCUCCUUUUCCUCAGCAGAUCUGCCUCCAGGUCAGGAAGAAAGCACCAGGAGAGGUGUACAGCCCUGUAACACCUGCAGACAUUUUCAUCUGCACAGGAGAAAUGUUUCUUCAGAACUGCAUCGAGAGGGAUACAGUAAAAACACUUCUAACCCGAUACAGAUGAAAGGCAUCAAAAUCCUCGGGACAGAAAACAAGGGCGAAAAGAAAUCCGAACCUUCAAUAGGAACAUUUGGAGUUAAGCUUACUUCCUACAACAGUUUUCACAGGGAGAAAGAGAUAUUUUUGAUUGAAAAUCAGCAUUUGCAUCACAAUGGAGAUAUUUCAAAAGUAUAAACACAAAGGACUGCAACUUCAGAGACUUCUUGGUCAGCUGUGUUACUUGGUUUCUAGUACAUCCUCUCAUAAUGGCCCCGGGAAAGAGAUAUUUGCUAAUUCAGAGCAUCAGUGAGCAAUUCUGUUGGCUGCUCAGGGCGAAAAUACACACGGCUGUUUCCUUUGGUGACUUAACAUCCUCUCCUUCCCAGUAGCGCUGUGAGAAUCACCAAGAGAGCACUCUACACUUGAAAGGCACCCAUUGAGGUUUAUGCGUUUUUCUUCUUCUGACAAGAAGCUUUCUCCGUUUGAAAAAUAAAAAUAAAAAGGUCGACGAACGAAGAAACU
ensembl:lncRNA